AUGUUCACUGUUAUAUUCAUGUAUCUGUGGCUUUCUCUAGGUGACUCCGUGGCAGAUUCAAUAGAGCCACUUUUCACUCACAAAGUUGUAGAUGAAGGUGAUGAUGUUACUCUGUCCUGCAGCUACAAAGGCUUCAGUGGUAACAUAUAUAAUGUGCAGUGGUACAGACAAUAUCCAAAAUCUAAACCUGAGUUCCUGCUUUAUAUUCACCAAGAUGGAGAUCGAAGUCCAAACAUUCCCCCUAGAAUGUCUGUUAACAUUGCUGGAGAUAAACAAGUGUAUCUGAACAUCUCCUCUGCUGCUGUAUCAGACUCUGCUCUAUACUACUGUGCUCUGAGACCCACAGUGACAGGAAAUCCAGCUGCACUGUACAAAAACUUUCACACAGUUUUGUUAUAUUGA